UACGUAGGGGGCAAGCGUUGUCCGGAGUUACUGGGCGUAAAGCGCACGCAGGCGGUCUUUUAAGUUUGGAGUGACAGUUGGUGGCUUAACUGCCAAAGUGCUUCGAAAACUGACAGACUUGAGGGCUUCAGAGGGACACGGAAUUCCGGGUGGAGUGGUGAAAUGCGUAGAGAUCGGCAGGAACACCAAGGACGAAGGUAACCACCUGGGCAUCAGCUGACACUCAUGUGCGACAGCGUGGGGAGCGAACCGG
rnacentral:rRNA from 1 species